GUGCUCACUUCAGCAGCACACAUACUAAAAUUGGAACAAUAUAGAGAUUAGCAUGACACCUGCACAAGGAUGACACACAAAUUCAUGAAGUGUUCCAUACUUUU